rnacentral:rRNA from 1 species
AUUGAACGCUGGCGGCAGGCCUAACACAUGCAAGUCGAACGAUUGGCGGACGGGUGAGUAAUGUCUGGGAAACUGCCCAACGGAGGGGGAUAACUGCUGGAAACGGUGGCUAAUACCGCAUACCAUCGGAUCUGCCCAGAUGGGAUGAGCGAGUAGGUGGGCUAACGGCUCACCUAGGCGACGAUCCCUAGCUGGUCUGAGAGGAUGACCAGACACACUGGAACUGAGACACGGUCCAGACGCCUACGGGAGGCAGCAGUGGGGAAUCGUGCACAAUGGGCGCAAGCCUGAUGCAGCCAUGCCGCGUGUAUGAAGAAGGCUUUCGGGUUGUAAAGUACUGUCAGCGAGGAGGCGUUACUCGCAGAAGAAGCACCGGCUAACUCCGUGCCAGCCGCCGCGGUAAUAC